rnacentral:rRNA from 1 species
CCAGACUCCUACGGGAGGCAGCAGUGAGGAAUAUUGGUCAAUGGGCUUACGCCUGAACCAGCCAAGUCGCGUGAGGGAAGACUGCCCUAUGGGUUGUAAACCUCUUUUGUCAGGGAGCAACGCCGGCUACGUGUAGCCGGACUGAGAGUACCUGAAGAAAAAGCAUCGGCUAACUCCGUGCCAGCAGCCGCGGUAAUACGGAGGAUGCGAGCGUUAUCCGGAUUUAUUGGGUUUAAAGGGUGCGUAGGCGGGAUGCCAAGUCAGCGGUAAAAAUGCGGUGCUCAACGCCGUCGAGCCGUUGAAACUGGCGUUCUUGAGUGGGCGAGAAGUAUGCGGAAUGCGUGGUGUAGCGGUGAAAUGCUUAGAUAUCGCGCAGAACCCCGAUUGCGAAGGCAGCGUACCGGCUCCACACUGACGCUGAGGCACGAAAGCGUGGGUAUCGAACAGGAUUAGAUACCCUUGUAUA